ACCACAGAUGGAGCAGCUCUCCCAGGAGCAGGGAUGCCUGAGCUCUGGGGCUGAGUUCCCGGGGACCCCACGGAGCUCCCCCCCCUUCCCGGCUGCCCAGGGGAUUCUGCACCUACCUGCGGCCGGGCCAAAGCCCUGCUCUGCCACCGGGGUCCAGGGACUGGCACAAUAACCCCUUUGAAACGGCCGGAGUGUUGGCAAAGUGACCAGCAGAUCCUUGCAGGGACCGAAGGCGGUUUCAUCGACACGGAGGCAGAGAGAGCUGCAUCUCCGAUGAUGCUCCGCAGCGUUGAGAGGGACGUGGCCCGGCCCGGAAAAUAAAAGCUGAAAAUAGACUGAAGCAUCAAGUAUUUUUAUAGCUCUCCAUCCAGAUGACGGGCUGCUCUGUGAAUCGCGUUGCGUGCCGCCGGCCGUCCCCGGGAAGGACGGGUGGCCAGCUUCUCGCCCGGCUGGCAUAUGUGAAACGAGUUGGAAGGUGCUCAGCCUUCUAGGUUGAUGCAAAAAACAUUUGGUAUCCUGUUGAUUGAAGGAACAGAUGCUUGCAUAAUUUCUGAAGCCAGAAAUACAUUCACAAUAUCCUCCAGAAAUAGUAAGGAAGAAGUCUAAACGUCAGAACGAGGAAACACAAAUAUUUUUCAGGUAGACAACCCCUGAAACAUUAAAAAUAAAAGCAAAGUUGAUGAAUGUUUAAAAUUACGAUACCCGAGUCUAAUUCUGUGUAGCAGCAUCGAAGCUCCCACCUGUUUUAAAGUAACUUCGGCCAUAAGCUGAAGGACAAGACCUAUCUUGAAGGGCCAUCAGGAGAAGUCACCCGGGUCCCCGACUCUGCAUCCCUGCGUCGGGUGCGCCGCGGGCUCCUGUUCCGGAGAGUUUGCGGUUCACUGUGACCUGUCUUCCCGGGGCUCUCCCCGCCCGUCCCCGGUAGCACCGACCGGACAAAAGGCAUUCGAAUCUUCGGAGAUCGAGAUUUGCUAGUAAUGUGGCCCAAUAGUCCAGAGGUUGCCCUGGAGAUGCUCUCUCCCCAGAGGACAUUCAGGACACUUCUAUAGAGCGAGCUAAAACGGAGCGGGUUAAGCUGUAAAUCUCCUCCCGGCUCUGCGCUGCCCCUAACACGUUCGAAGGAACUGGAAUGAAGAAUGAACGAGGCUCGUGCCCUUCCACGUGUCCAGAUGGCGCCCACGUGCA